rnacentral:sRNA from 1 species
GCGGAGGAAAAGAAACCAACAGGGAUUGCCCUAGUAACGGCGAGUGAAGCGGCAACAGCUCAAAUUUGAAAUCUGGCUCUCUUUGGGGUCCGAGUUGUAAUUUGCAGAGGAUGCUUUGGCAUUGGCGGCGGUCUAAGUUCCUUGGAACAGGACAUCACAGAGGGUGAGAAUCCCGUACGUGGUCGCCUGCCUUUGCCGUGUAAAGCUCCUUCGACGAGUCGAGUUGUUUGGGAAUGCAGCUCUAAAUGGGAGGUAAAUUUCUUCUAAAGCUAAAUACCGGCCAGAGACCGAUAGCGCACAAGUAGAGUGAUCGAAAGAUGAAAAGUACUUUGGAAAGAGAGUCAAAAAGCACGUGAAAUUGUUGAAAGGGAAGCGCUUGCAGCCAGACUUGCCCGCAGUUGCUCACCUAGGCUUUGGCCUGGGGCACUCUUCUGCGGGCAGGCCAGCAUCAGUUUGGGCGGUUGGAUAAAGGCCUCUGUCACGUAUCUUCCUUCGGGAUGACCUUAUAGGGGAGGCGUAAUGCAACCAGCCCGGACUGAGGUCCGCGCAUCUGCUAGGAUGCUGGCGUAAUGGCUGUAAGCGGCCCGUCUUGAAACACGGACCAAGGAGUCUAACAUCUAUGCGAGUGUUUGGGUGUCAAGCCCGGGCGCGCAAUGAAAGUGAACGGAGGUGGGAACCCUUUGGGUGCACCAUCGACCGAUCCUGAUGUCUUCGGAUGGAUUUGAGUAAGAGCAUAGCUGUUGGGACCCGAAAGAUGGUGAACUAUGCUUGAAUAGGGUGAAGCCAGAGGAAACUCUGGUGGAGGCUCGCAGCGGUUCUGACGUGCAAAUCGAUCGUCA